AUGGCGCUGCGGCGUUGGUGACUGCCAAUAUUGUUUUGUGAUCUACAAUCAUCCUGUAUAUGGGAAUUAGCAAGCGUUGCGCGGCAGUAGACCGAGCACGUACUCGGAAACUUCAAGCGCGAAGCCAAGAUGCCCACUUGAUAUAUGCAGGUCAAAAACUGAGGUAAGACGGCGUUGCGGUGAAUCU
rnacentral:other from 3 species